rnacentral:lncRNA from 1 species
GACUUAUGCACCGACUUGACAAAUACUUGACUAUACCCAAAAAUCUUCCAUCAUUGAAUUAAAAACUUAGUUAGUCUAACACCAAAGUACAGUGAGUUGCUUGCAAAUCACUGUGAUUAUCUCAGAUCGGAGGGACACUUAUAUCCAUAUCCUUCGCGAGCUACCCUUGACAGCAGAGUAUUCCACAGUUGGUCAUGUUCAGUGAUGAUGUACUCC